rnacentral:rRNA from 1 species
UAGGGAAUCUUCGGCAAUGGGGGCAACCCUGACCGAGCAACGCCGCGUGAGUGAAGAAGGUUUUCGGAUCGUAAAGCUCUGUUGUAAGUCAAGAACGAGUGUGAGGGUGGAAAGUUCACACUGUGACGGUAGCUUACCAGAAAGGGACGGCUAACUACGUGCCAGCAGCCGCGGUAAUACGUAGGUCCCGAGCGUUGUCCGGAUUUAUUGGGCGUAAAGCGAGCGCAGGCGGUUUGAUAAGUCUGAAGUUAAAGGCUGUGGCUCAACCAUAGUUCGCUUUGGAAACUGUCAAACUUGAGUGCAGAAGGGGAGAGUGGAAUUCCAUGUGUAGCGGUGAAAUGCGUAGAUAUAUGGAGGAACACCGGUGGCGAAAGCGGCUCUCUGGUCUGUAACUGACGCUGAGGCUCGAAAGCGUGGGGAGCGAACAGGAUUAGAUACCCUGGUAGUCCACGCCGUAAACGAUGAGUGCUAGGUGUUGGAUCCUUUCCGGGAUUCAGUGCCGCAGCUAACGCAUUAAGCACUCCGCCUGGGGAGUACGACCGCAAGGUUG